AAUGAUGAAAACAAUAUUAUUCACACAGACCUGUUCUGAAUAUAUGCAUGUGGAUGUUGUUUAUUGCCAACUGCUGUCUGA
rnacentral:snoRNA from 1 species